rnacentral:rRNA from 1 species
GUUAAGUCGGGGGCGGCGGCGGCGGGAAUGCAGGGGGUGGGAGGGUGGGUGGGAAGUACGGGGCGGAAGGGGGUCGUAGGCGGCCGGGGAAGUCGAAGGUGGAAUCCCCGGGGUGGGCCCGGGUAGUGCGUCCGAUACGGGUAGGCGUGAAUUCGGGAGAGGGAUGCGGAAGUGCAGGUGUGGCGGUGAAAUGCGUAGAUAUCUGGAGGAACACCGGUGGCGAAGGCGGCAUCCUGGACCGACAUUGACGCUGAGGCGCGAAAGCCAGGGGAGCAAACGGGAUUAGAUACCCCUGUAGUC